AUGUCUUGCCAUGUGCCUUUAUCUCCAUUUUUGUCUUUUAGUGCUUCAAUGGUCCCAGUGAUGUUGGUUCAACGGCAGCUCCCUGUAUUUGUCCUCCAGGAAAACCAGGACUACAAGGCCCCAAAGGUGACCCUGGACAGCCUGGGAACCCUGGAUACCCUGGACAACCUGGUCAAGAUGGGAUAUCAGGGAAUGGCAGGAUCACCAGGUGUUCCAGGAUCCCCAGGAAUACAAGGAGCACGAGGACUACCAGGUUAUAAAGGAGAACUGGGGAGAGAUGGAGAAAAGGUAAAUAUGUACAAGCAAAGGUGUGUUCAGUUGUUUUAGUCACUCAAAGACAAAGGAUGCAAUCUGUGAUGACUCCCAUUCAAUAAUGUUCGUCUUGGUGAAUUCCAAGAUGUCAGCUCAGAAAUGUGUCA
rnacentral:lncRNA from 1 species